rfam:Gongylonema pulchrum genome assembly, scaffold: GPTH_scaffold0013373
ACGUUGAGUUAAAGUGUCAAACUUCCCGCUCGUGAGACUCCACGAAAGGCGUUGGUUGAUAUAGAACAGCAGGGCGGUGGCCAUGGAAGUCGGAAGCCGCUAAGGAGUGUGUAACAAUUCACCUGCCGAAUCAAUUAGCCCUGAAAAUGGAUGACGCAAAGAAAAUAGAAAUUUUUUUUUGGUUUUUUAUUAAAAAACCCGGA